UACGGAGGAUCCGAGCGUUAUCCGGAUUUAUUGGGUUUAAAGGGAGCGUAGGCGGGUUGUUAAGUCAGUUGUGAAAGUUUGCGGCUCAACCGUAAAAUUGCAGUUGAUACUGGCAUCCUUGAGUACAGUAGAGGUAGGCGGAAUUCGUGGUGUAGCGGUGAAAUGCUUAGAUAUCACGAAGAACUCCGAUUGCGAAGGCAGCCUGCUGGAUUGUAACUGACGCUGAUGCUCGAAAGUGUGGGUAUCAAACAGG
rnacentral:rRNA from 1 species